UAAGGAAUAUUGGUCAAUGGACGCAAGUCUGAACCAGCCAUGCCGCGUGAAGGAUGAAGGUCCUCUGGAUUGUAAACUUCUUUUAUCUGGGACGAAAACGGGAUUUUUAUCUCAAUUGACGGUACCAGAGGAAUAAGCACCGGCUAACUCCGUGCCAGCAGCCGCGGUAAUACGGAGGGUGCGAGCGUUAUCCGGAUUUACUGGGUUUAAAGGGUGCGUAGGUGGGCUUAUAAGUCAGUGGUGAAAUCUCCGAGCUUAACUUGGAAACUGCCGUUGAUACUAUAGGUCUUGAAUUAUCUGGAGGUAAGCGGAAUAUGUCAUGUAGCGGUGAAAUGCUUAGAUAUGACAUAGAACACCAAUGGCGAAGGCAGCUUACUACAUAUAAAUUGACGCUGAGGCACGAAAGCGUGG
rnacentral:rRNA from 1 species